UAGUCAUAUGCUUGUCUUAAAGACUAACCCAUGCAUGUCUAAGUGUAAACAAAUUAUACUGUGAAACUGCGAAUGGCUCAUUAUAUCAGUUAUCGUUUCUUUGAUAGUCACCUUUUAGUUGGAUAACCGUAGUAAUUCUAGAGCUAAUACAUGCCAAAAAUGGUGUUUCGGCACCAUGUAUUUGCAAGAUUUCAAACCAACGGGGUGGGUGGGCUUGCUCAUCCAUCAUCUUCACUCAGGUGAUUCAUUGCAACUGCGCGAAUCGCAUGACCUCAGAGUCGGCGAUGAUUCAUUCAAGUUUCUGCCCUAUCAACUUUGGAUGGUAGUGUAUUGGACUACCAUGGUUGUAACGGGUGACGGGGAACCAGGGUUCGGUUCCGGAGAGGGAGCCUGAGAAAUGGCUACCACUUCCAAGGAAGGCAGCAGGGACGAAAAUUGACCAUUGAGCAAUGCUCGAGUCAGUGACGAUACAUAACAAUGGGGGAGGAGAUAAUCCUCUCCCAAUUGGAAUGAGAACAAUUUAAAAACCUUAACGAGGAACAAUUG
rnacentral:rRNA from 1 species